rnacentral:lncRNA from 1 species
CGAGAUGAGGAAAAUAAAGAUGCCAGUGACUCUGAUGAUGAUGACGAUGAUGAUGAGGACAACGCUGAUGAAGACGAUGAUGAUGAUGAUGAUGAUGCUAAUGAUGAAGAUUUUUCAGGGGGUGAAGGAGAGGAAGCUGAUCCGGAGGAUGACCCGGUGACCAAUGGUGGGGGAGGAAGCGAUGAUAAUGAUGAUGAUGACGAUGACGGGGAUGAGAGUGGUGAUGAUGAUGGAGAUGAGGAUGAGGAGGACGAAGAUGAGGAUGAUGAGGAAGAUGACGAAGAUGUUCGCCAGCCGCCUGCUAAGAAGAGAAAAUGAAACAUGAGAAAGAGGGGAUUGUUCAAGACUUGAAGAGGACCAUAUGUGUUGGUUUAAGUAGUGUAGGGGAAACUUAUGCUUCAUGUUGUGUACUAUUUGUUGUCGUGUGUGACUUGUCUACUUGGAUUUUAGUUAUCUUGGCUGUUGUAGAAUGUUGUUCUCUUCUUUUUGUUUUUGCAUCUGCCUAUGAAUAUGAUUCGCCGUGCUUCACAUUUUCUUUGUUGUUGCAAUUUUUCUUUCCAUUGUUUCAAAUGUUUAAAAGGAAACUCCACCAACACUAUACUAUGUUUCAUGUAUCCCAUCACGUUCUCACAUUACUUGGACCAUAGGAACUCUCUUCAUUCUAAUCAGUUCGUUUGGAUUGCUUGUCACUUGUAUGGGUUUUCUUGAGUUGACAAACCAGACAACAAGUAUUCACGUGGUUGUGGUUGCGAGACAACUAACUUUGGGUUCUUCAACAAUAUCCUAGUCUAGGAUUUAGUUCUACCAUACCGCCGGACCAUUUAGAUCAUGUCGGUUUAGGAUCGAUCUUGCCUUUUUCGAUGAGCCGGAUCGAUUUCGGUUUAGUUGAACAAAGUGUGUUCGGACUCUGAUACCAUGUUAGGAGAAGAUGGUUUUCAGAUAUCUCAAUUGAGUUUACACGAUACAAUAUAUACAGAGAGGUAGGAGACACUAGGUUAACAUAAUUACAAAUGUUCCAUAUUUGGAAGAGAAGAAUAUUGCAGCCUUUUGAAGAAGCUAACCCAGCAUUGGUGUCACACUUGUGAGUUUAACAAUCAGGAAAAGUCUCAUUGAAGUCUAUUUCCCCCUUGUUAGGUGAACCCAUUUGCUACUAGGCCAAAUUAUACAUUUGUACCAUCAUAAUUGGACUUAAUAGUUAAAUCCAUUUAGACCCAAUAACAUUUUUUUCAUAACCUUUUCUUGUUCAGCACACUAAAAAUAAAUGUAAAUGUGAUAGAUAUUACAAAUGAUUGAUUAAAGAAUGACAAUGCAUAUACAAAUGUUACAAAAGCUGAUCAAAGAAUGACAGUGCACUAGACAAUAUACAAGCAUAACGAUUCAUGAAAUAAGAGGAAUAUGAAGGCUAAAGUAGAAGUAGUCAGUAGGAAUAAUCAUUAUAAAGUUGAAUACGUUUUUGCUGCUGUUGAGAUAGAUGAUGUAUAUCCUUAACAAUGUCGAACACUGCCUCAGGCUGCGCCAACUUAAGAGCAUUCUCUGACAUUUUAUAUAAUUCGUUUUUCUUGCUGCUGAACCAAUAAUGACCUUCAAUUAAUGACGAGACAACAAAAGUUUCUGCAGAAAAAGUCUACAGUAACAACUUUAUAGUUACAACCGAUUUAUUUACAGCUAAACAUCUACAGUUAAAUUUUUAAAGCUACGGUCGAACCGAUCAUCACCAAUAAUUUAUAAAUUGAUUAACUAGUAAACAGCUUUAUAAAAUAUUGAAAAUGCUUUAUUAACCGAGACAAAGCAAACGUGAGACAACCAUGAAUAUAAUUAAUAGAAAAAAACUAAAAUAAUUAAAAAUUAAAAGUUACCGUAGAAUAACUAACCUAAAUCUAAAAAUACUAGUUCAACUUUUAAUACAUAAAAUUUUGUUUGAUGUUGAAUUAAUACUUUAGUUUAGCAAUUUUUAAAAAUGGAUAGCUUAAAAUUAACUUAUAUAUAAUACAUUGUAAUUCAAACAUAAGUUAAAAAUAAUUAUUUUGAAUUAUAUCUCUAAAGCAAACUUAAACAAUAAUAAUUCAUAUCACCAGUCAAAGCCUAUAUUAAAAAAAUAGAAAUAAUCAUAAAAAGAAAGAGGCAGCGCAUCAUUCCAACAGAAUUAAAAACUACAUUGGAAAUAAAUAAAAAGAAAGAAAUCAGGGAAAUGUGAUUCGAGGAAGAGAAGAAAACCGCGUCAAGCGGGAUAUCAAAUCAAUCGUGUUGUUAACACGUCUGCCAUUGAUUCUCUAUCACGAUUCGAUUAAAACAUAAAAACACUGAAACGAGAGAAUAUACAAAAAAAAUAAAAACAAUCUCGAAAAACACAAAGACAGAAUGUUGUGUUCCAGAUCUAAAACAGUGUUCGUACUUUUCUCAUUCCUUCUUGUCGCCACUGGAAUAUCUAUUGCUGGUAAGAAAGAAAGAAAGAAAGAAAGAAAAAAUAAUUCAACAUUCUUGUAUUUUGAUUUUGUCUCUGUUGAUAUGUUUUUACUUCUAAUUUUGGGUUUGGAUGGUUUCAGAAAAGGAAGCAGCAAGUGUUGAAGAAGAAUGGGGGACAAGUGUGAAAGAAAGGUUUAUGGCAGAGGAAAAAGGAGAGAACUCGUCUCUGAUUUUGGCUGCAAACAGAACAAAGAGGAAAGACCCUACUGAGAAUUUCAACAUUUACACUGGUGGAUGGAACAUAAGCAAUACCCAUUAUUGGACUGUGAGUCCUUUCUUUUAUUUUCUGUGGUCCUAAGUUUUCUCUGUUGCUAGUGGAGUUUGUUUGCUUAAUCAAACGGGAUUAGCAUUCAUUAGUUCUCUCUCUUUUUGAAGCUUUUUUGACUUUUUUUUUUCUCAUUCUUUGCUUUGUGUGUGCAUGCAGUCUGUUGCUUAUACAGCGACGCCUUUCUUUGUGAUAGCAGGAGUCUGGUUUGUGGUCUUCGGGCUAUCCUUGUCUCUCAUUUGCCUUUGCUAUUGCUGCUGUGCCCGUCAGCCUUACGGCUAUUCCAGGGUUGCUUAUGCUCUCUCCCUUAUCCUCCUCAUAUUAUUCACAAUCGCUGCAAUGUAAAUUGUCUUUUCUCUGGCUCUUUUUUUUGUCAUUCUUUUUUUUAAUUAAAAUAAGCUUUUUGUGUUUGAUAUUUUCCAGUGUGGGAUGUGUUUUCCUUUACACGGGCCAAGGGAAAUUUCAUGCUAGCACAACAGAUACUUUGGACUAUGUGGUGAGGCAGGCAAAUUUCACGGCGGAAAACCUCAGGAAUGUGUCGGAUUAUCUCAAUGCAGCUAAGAAGGUGGAUGUGCAAUCCAUCGUUCUUCCAGGGGAUGUUUUAUCGAGCAUCGACAACAUACAAGGAAAGAUCAACUCCUCUGCAACUACUCUUUCUGUUCAAACAAUGGAGAACCAAGACAGGAUUCAAGAUGUCUUGGACAACAUGUAAAAAAAUACACAAUACCAUAGUGUUAUCCUUUUUAUUUUCUUCACCUUUUUUUGCUUAUGAUUUGUUGCAGGAGACUUGCGCUCAUCAUCAUCGCUGCUGUGAUGCUUUUUCUAGCGUUCAUUGGAUUCUGUAAGUCUAGGGAUUAUUAUUAUUGAUUACAUCUCGCAGCAGCACUUUAACUUGUUGAUUAUUUUUAUUGUUGUUACAGUACUCUCUAUCUUUGGACUGCAGUGCCUUGUAUACACGUAAGUGAAGUCUCAUUCUCAUUUUCCACGUGUUACCGUUUUAUGCUGAUAAAAAAUUACUUUGUGAUUUAACAAUGGACAGGUUAGUGAUCCUUGGUUGGAUUCUUGUCACCGGCACUUUCGUCUUAUGUGGUCUAUUUCUCCUUCUACACAAGUGAGUUUUUUGUUCAAUUUGUCUUACUCAAUGCAUUAAAAAAGGUUUCUCAAUAAAAGCAUUUCUUAUGCCUUUGUCAGCGUUGUUGGGGAUACGUGUGUGGCCAUGGACCAAUGGGUGCAACACCCGAAAGCUCACACCGCUCUAGACGAUAUUCUACCGUGCGUUGAUAACGCAACCGCGACCGAAACAUUGAGUCAGACAAAGCUUGUGACGUACCAGUUGGUUGAAAUUGUUGACAAUUUCAUGAACACCAUCGCCAACAAGAACUUCCCGCCUCAAGCCCGACCCCUUUAUUACAACCAGUCAGGCCCCCUAAUGCCUUUGCUCUGUAACCCCUUCAAUGCUGAUCUCUCUGACCACCUGUGCAAGCCCGGUGAGGUCCAUCUCAGCAAUGCAACUGAGGUAAAUUAAAUACUAAUUUAAAACAGAACAUAUCUUUGUAUAUUUUGUUUUGUUUCAUAAUGUUUCUUAUGGUAUGUUUUUUUUAUGCAGGUGUGGAAGAACUACACUUGCGAAUAUAUAACACCGGGAAUAUGUAGCACGCCCGGACGUCUGACCCCAAACCAUUACACCCAGAUGGCUGCAGCAGUUAACGUAAGCUAUGGUCUGUACAAGUAUGGUCCAUUCCUGGCAGAUCUGCGAGGGUGUAACUUCGUAAGGUCCACAUUCACUGAUAUAGAGAGGGAUCAUUGCCCGGGACUGAGGAGAUACACGCAGUGGAUCUACGUGGGUCUUGUGCUGGUGUCUACUGCUGUAAUGCUGUCUUUGGUGUUUUGGGUUGUAUACGCGCGGGAGAGGAGGCACCGUGUUUACACCAAAGACUACAAUGCUAUGCAUUCUGAAGCUCCACGGGACAAGGGUCCGCAGUGAGAUGUUCUGUACUUUUUGCCAGUUUUAUGUAAAUUAUGUGUUUGAGAUGUCUGGUGAGAUCUUUUGUGUAGUGAAUAAUGGAAGGAAACUGUGGUUGUGUGGUUGUUGUCACUAAUGUUCUUUAUAAUUGAUAUGUUGAGAACUACUUCGAAAUUGGAGAUGUACUGUUUUGUGGAAGUACAACCCAUCUUUGUGUUUCUUGUCGGAGAGGACAAAUCUUCAAUUCUUUAUUACUAGUAUUGCUUACCAAAAGCAUUUCUUUAUGAGCUGAUACUAGUUUCGAUAGCUGUAAUGUCUUUGAUCACUUGAAGAUGGGGGACUGAACCUAGAGGCUACUAGUACUCAUAGCACUUUGAAUGGUCGAUAAUUUCUUCACCUAAAGUUAAUGAAGAGCCUUAUGUUGUGCGUUACAACUACUUACGAGUGUAACCUCGUUUGUUGGUGUUGAAUGGGUUCACGUAAGAGAAAAGAGUAAUAUUCCUAGUGAUUGAAGGAGGCUGUUCAAAAAAAAAAAACAAAGAGAUAAAAAGUGCUCAAAUAGACUUGUUUUACAAAAUAUAACAUGACUGACUUGAAAACUCUAAACCUAACAGGUGUAUGAAAACCAAAACCAACUCCUAAUGGAUCUAAACUUACUCUUAAUGGGUUUAGUGAGAAAUUCUAAAACUUUAAAUCUUGUUUAAUCGGAGUUUAAACCAAGUGGCCCGCCCUCUAUCCUUCACAUGGGUCAGCUCAUCUUUUUCUUGGACAAACUUGAUUAAAAGUCCAAAGACUUCUUUCAAGGCUGUAGUCUUUGAUCUUGUCAUCUGUCCAAUAUAACAGACAAGUGGAUCAUGUGCUUGGUUGUCCAUCCCAUCUUGUGCCGCAGAAGUCUUAUCUUGGCUAACCACUUCUUGGGUUCGAUCCAGCUGAUAGUUAUCUAGACCGUUUUGCUGCUUAGUUCACUUUGUCGAGCAAAAUGCUCUUAUUGAUAAAUUUCCAUGUCCAGGUCUUCAUCUCCAUUUUUUGGGUCUAUGUCCGACCAUAUCGCAUCACCCGACCAUAGGUCAUAUUCCAUUUCGCGAUCGUCUGUCCUGUUCAUCUCUCGACCGUCCGUCCUUCUCAUGUCCAUUUCGUGACCACAUUUCCUUGUUCGAUCCAUUUCGUGCUGGUCCAGUCCUCAGCUGUCGGUUCAUCCAAGUAAAGCUCAUGUCGCCCAUCUCAGUCAACAUAUACCUUUGGUUCCAAUGAUGACCGCAUCAGAAAGUGCAACGUUAGCUUGAUAUAUUUGUUCAUGAUAUCCACGGAGUCUCCAAGUGAUUUCUUUUCAACAAUUGUAUUCUUAACGUAUUUUAACUCAAACCAACAAAUCCAAAAUUUAUUAGAAUUUAUAUAUCAAAUGAAAUGAUAUAAUUAAAAUGAAUUGAUAUAAAUAAAAUGAUUUUUAUAAAAAUGUUAUCCUAACUUUAUUAAAAUUUAAAUUAAAUUAAACAGAAAUAAUUAAACUAAUAUAAAAAACAAGACUACAAAAAUAUAUUUAUAGUUUUUUUUUCAAACCAAUGAAGUUAAAGCAUAGAAAUACUAGUGUCAAAAUCUAAAUUAAAAUUUUAAAAAUAAAUAAUAUAUUAUAUUUAUAGUUGUUAUUUGUGGACAUGGCUCAUAAAAACUCUUAUAAAGGCUGGCUUAAUCUACAGACUACAGAUGAAAAAAAACUCCUUUAAAUACAAAAACCCUACAGGGACGAAAAUUUAGGGUACUUGACCGGAUCUAAGCUAUUCAGGUUUUCCACACUCCCUUUUUUAUCUCUCUUUAUCUGUCUCCUCCUCCCCUGUAGACUUUGGCUUUCUGUCUCCUCAUCUCUUACUGUGAGUCCUUUUCGAGUAGAUAUGGAAGUGGCUGCCCUCAGGUCGAUGGAGACGCAGAGACAAUGGACUUGUUCUGCCACUGAGACGCUUCUCUUCCUCGUUGGAAGGAAUCUGGCUUGUCUGCUUCUCGCGGUAUACAACUGUUUCCUUAAUUUUAAUUUAUAACUCUUGUUUCACUUUGUGUUCUGUUGGAUUUGUCAUUUAUUCAAAAACCGUCCAUCCUGGAGUUGUCUCUGUGUUCCUGAAUCCAAGGCUUAUUAGAUUUUCUUAGAUUUUCUGCUUUAGGGAUACGAUUUGGGAUGGAUUUUGUUGUUUGAAUUUAGACAAGCACUUUAGCUUCUGUUAUGUCUUAAUUGGUUCGAGACGGGUCUUUGUACAAUUGAAGUUGAAUGCAGAGUUUAACAAUGUCAAAUGUACACUCUGUUAACUUGUCACGUUUACUUUUUGUCUAUUUGCAAUUGCUAUUUAUAUUGAUAUUUAUAUAAGGAUGUGCUCUUCUUGGAUUUUGUAUGAUAUAGUAAACACACAAAGACGAGUCUGCCUUUGAAAAUGUUUAAACCCUUACAGAUUGACUUUAGGUUUAUUUUGUGUACCUUUUAAGCUUCCUUUUGUGAUUUCAAUGUUUGUUUGUUAUGUGCUAUAUUGACAUUUGCCAUUUUUCAUGAUCCUUUUUAACUUGUGUUCUCGCUGAACUUUGCAUUAAUACACUAUGGAUAGUUCAGUAUUGUAUAAAAUUUCAUAAAACCUUGUCUAACAUUCAUCUUUUUGUUCUGUGAUAUCGCAGGCAGAAUCUUUGCUGAUAGGGUUGAUUGCUGAAGAUCAGAGGUGAGCAUAAGGGCCACACUUUUCAUUUUUCCCCUUCUUUUAGAUUGUAGCAGAUUUGAAUUUGACUUGUCUCUAGGCUUUCUGUGAAGGAGGGCUACAAAAAAGGACACCGAGAUGAGGAAAAUAAAGAUGCCAGUGACUCUGAUGAUGAUGACGAUGAUGAUGAGGACAACGCUGAUGAAGACGAUGAUGAUGAUGAUGAUGAUGCUAAUGAUGAAGAUUUUUCAGGGGGUGAAGGAGAGGAAGCUGAUCCGGAGGAUGACCCGGUGACCAAUGGUGGGGGAGGAAGCGAUGAUAAUGAUGAUGAUGACGAUGACGGGGAUGAGAGUGGUGAUGAUGAUGGAGAUGAGGAUGAGGAGGACGAAGAUGAGGAUGAUGAGGAAGAUGACGAAGAUGUUCGCCAGCCGCCUGCUAAGAAGAGAAAAUGAAACAUGAGAAAGAGGGGAUUGUUCAAGACUUGAAGAGGACCAUAUGUGUUGGUUUAAGUAGUGUAGGGGAAACUUAUGCUUCAUGUUGUGUACUAUUUGUUGUCGUGUGUGACUUGUCUACUUGGAUUUUAGUUAUCUUGGCUGUUGUAGAAUGUUGUUCU